rnacentral:rRNA from 1 species
UGAGGAAUAUUGGUCAAUGGGCGAGAGCCUGAACCAGCCAAGUAGCGUGAAGGAUGACUGCCCUAUGGGUUGUAAACUUCUUUUAUAAAGGAAUAAAGUCGGGUAUGGAUACCCGUUUGCAUGUACUUUAUGAAUAAGGAUCGGCUAACUCCGUGCCAGCAGCCGCGGUAAUACGGAGGAUCCGAGCGUUAUCCGGAUUUAUUGGGUUUAAAGGGAGCGUAGAUGGAUGUUUAAGUCAGUUGUGAAAGUUUGCGGCUCAACCGUAAAAUUGCAGUUGAUACUGGAUGUCUUGAGUGCAGUUGAGGCAGGCGGAAUUCGUGGUGUAGCGGUGAAAUGCUUAGAUAUCACGAAGAACUCCGAUUGCGAAGGCAGCCUGCUAAGCUGCAACUGACAUUGAGGCUCGAAAGUGUGGGUAUCAAACAGGAUUAGAUACCCUGGUAGUCCACACGGUAAACGAUGAAUACUCGCUGUUUGCGAUAUACGGCAAGCGGCCAAGCGAAAGCGUUAAGUAUUCCACCUGGGGAGUACGCCGGCAACGGUGAAACUCAAAGGAAUUGACGGGGGCCCGCACAAGCGGAGGAACAUGUGGUUUAAUUCGAUGAUACGCGAGGAACCUUACCCGGGCUUAAAUUGCACUCGAAUGAUCCGGAAACGGUUCAGCUAGCAAUAGCGAGUGUGAAGGUGCUGCAUGGUUGUCGUCAGCUCGUGCCGUGAGGUGUCGGCUUAAGUGCCAUAACGAGCGCAACCCUUGUUGUCAGUUACUAACAGGUGAUGCUGAGGACUCUGACAAGACUGCCAUCGUAAGAUGUGAGGAAGGUGGGGAUGACGUCAAAUCAGCACGGCCCUUACGUCCGGGGCUACACACGUGUUACAAUGGGGGGUACAGAGGGCCGCUACCACGCGAGUGGAUGCCAAUCCCUAAAACCCCUCUCAGUUCGGACUGGAGUCUGCAACCCGACUCCACGAAGCUGGAUUCGCUAGUAAUCGCGCAUCAGCCACGGCGCGGUGAAUACGUUCCC